ACCUAAUUAGUGAGUCCUAAUUAAACCUGAAUUUUGUAAAGUUGCAAGAUCAUAGAGUAAGAUGUCCAAAUUUAUGAUUUUGAGAAUAUAAUAGUGAUGACAUCCAGGGCAUGUCCAUAGAAAUGUUCUAUUGAGUUGGAGAGUGAAUAAGGUCACUGAGGAAAAUAAGAAUGCAUGUUAAGUAUGGGGUCAUUCAUAUGGCUCCUUGAAAUUACACUGUUUAUUGCAGGAUUUGGUUAAGGAGGGGAAGACUGUGAGCCAGGUACCUGAAUCUUCAGAGGAUUAAUGAUGAAAGCAAUUUUGAAGAGGAACUUACCAGGAGAUGUACAUUGAAGAUGUCAGUUUCUGCAUGUGGGAAGUAAACGUUGAAGGCUUUAUGGUUUACAGACAAGAUCUUUAGAAGUUAAGACUCUCACGGACCAAGGAAAUAAAUAUCAGAAACCAAGAGCACAGAACAUUUUCUUUCGUCCAACCGUAGAACCCUGAGAUUUCUUCAGUUCCAACACACACAGACGAGUGACUACCUUGGCAGAUGGCCACAGAGGAUGUCAACAAUUUCUUG